rnacentral:tRNA from 1 species
GAGGUAAUAGGUUAAACCAAACCUUCGACCUUCAAAGUCGAAAAUGCUGCGGCUUGCCUUG